rnacentral:lncRNA from 1 species
CUGCAAUACAAAUACAAAUAGCAGUAGAGAAUAGUGAAUGAUGCAAGACAAUCUGCCCUGCAGAAAACAGAUGAAAGGAUUGUUUCGUAAUACGAUUCUGUCUUUAUAAUGUCUGACUGGUACGAAUUACUGCUUCCCAAGGAUAGUCGUCUCUGCAAUCAUGGAGGUGACAACGUACGGGUCCAUAUUAGAAGCAGGCCUCCUAUCCUCGAAGUAUCCCUUGCCUUCUUUCUCGAUGUCCCGACCAACACGGAUGGAUGCACCACGGUCUGCCACCCCCUGUCGAAAAACCGUGCAAAUAACAAGGUCAAUUCACUAUUUCUUUGAAGUCCCACAUUAUGAUUCGAAAGGUGUGGAGUAAAAGAAUUCAUAUAUACAACUUCAAAUUUGUAAUGAACAAGACUGAUCAGAAUUACUUUCAACAUAAGUAACUUAUAUUACUUAAAAGUAAGAAAAAGACGAUAAGUUAGCCAAAAAUGCUAUUAAGCUUUGCGAUUGUAAGCAUCCCUACAUUUCUAAGAACAAGGACGUAACCUGGGGAUAAGCUUAAGAAAUGUAAAAGCUACUUUUAACUAGUUUGCCCGUAGCACAUUAGAAGAGAGAAAGUAGUAAUUUACCCAUUUGAAGGUGUUGAUAUCGGCAGUUUCAUGUCUUCCAGUGAGACGGCGCUCAUUGCCUUCACCAUAUGCAGCAAUAUGUUCCUUGUGCCUAUGUCCAAGCUUUUCAAUAAGCUUCUUUAUGACUUCAAAGCCACCUUCUUUCCUCGUAGACUUGGU